rnacentral:rRNA from 1 species
UACGUAGGGUGCAAGCGUUGUCCGGAAUUACUGGGCGUAAAGCGUGCGCAGGCGGUUAUUUAAGUCAGGUGUGAAAGCCCUGGGCUUAACCUAGGAAUUGCGCUUGAGACUGGAUAGCUUGGAGUGCGGCAGAGGGAGGUGGAAUUCCACGUGUAGCAGUGAAAUGCGUAGAGAUGUGGAGGAACACCGAUGGCGAAGGCAGCCUCCUGGGCCAGCACUGACGCUCAUGCACGAAAGCGUGGGGAGCAAACAGG